GUGUGUGUUUGUGUGCGUGCGUGUGUGUUUGUUUGGGCGUGAAUUACUGUGUGCAUUUUUAUUUGUGUUUGUAUGUGUUUGUUUUUGUAUUNGUAUGUGUGAGUGUGUGUGUGUGUGCUUGUAUGUUUAAAUGUUUGAGAGAUAGAGAGAACGACAAAAAGAGAGAGUGUGUGUGUCUAUGUGUUUGUGUAUGUGAAGUGUGUAUUGUGUUUGCGUGUGUUUAUGUAGGUGAUAUGUGUGUGUAGGUGAAUGGAAGGGUAAGUAUAGGUUUGUGUAUGUGUGUGUAAUAUAUGUGUUUGUAUGGGCCGGUGUGUGUGUUGGUUUGUAUGUGUUUGUGGUGGUAGGUGUGUAUGUGUUUGUGUGUGCAUUCAUGUGUGUAUGUGAAUGUGUGUUUGUGCUUCCCUUUUUGUGUGAGAGUGUGUCUGUGUUUGUGUGGGUAAUAUGCAUGUGUGUGGGUGUAUCUGUGUUUAUACAUUUACGAGUGUUUAUGAAUGUUAGUGUAAUAUGUGUGUUUGUGCAUCUAUGAGUGUGUGUGUGUGUGUGUGUGUGUGCGUGUGUGUGAUGUGUGUGUGGGUAUAAGUUUGUAUGUGUGUGUGCGUAAUAUAUGUGUUUGUGUGGGUGAGUGGGUUUGUGUGUUUGUGUGUGUGUAUGUAAUAUGUGCGUGUGUGUGUGUCUAUGUUUGUGUGUGUGUGUGUGUUUGUGUGUGUGCAUGUAUGUAUGCGUGUUUGUGUUUGUGUGGGUAAUAUGUGUGUAUGUGAAUGCGUAUGCGUCUGUGUUUAUACAGCUACGUGUGUUUGUGUAUGUGUUUUUGUGUGUGAGAGUGUGUAUGUGUGUGUACUUUGUGUGUUUGUGUAUGUAAUAUAUAUGUGUUAAUGUGUAUGUAUGUGUGGAUGGGUUUUAUGUGUAUACGUGUGUGUGUGUGUUUGUUUGUGUUUAGGAGUGUUUGUAUGUGAGUGUUUAUGUGGGUGAUGUGUGUGUGUGGGCGAAUAGAGUGUGGGUAUAAGUUUGUAUGUGGGUGGGUGUGUGUGUGUGUAAUAUAUGUGUGUUUGUGGAGGUGUGUGUGUUUGUGUUUGUGUGUUUAUGUGUGUGUGUGUGUUUGUGUGGGUAAUAUGUGUGUGUAGGUGUGUUUGUGUUUCUGUUUAUACAGUUACGUGUGUUUGUGUAUGUGUUUUGUUGUGUGUGUGUGUGAGAGUCUGUGUGUGUUUGUGUAUGUAUGAGUCUCUUUGUGUGUGUGUGUGUGUUAAUGUGAUUGUGUGUGUGAGAGAGUGUGUGCGUGUGUGUGUGUGUGUUUAUGUGUUUGUUUUGGUGGUAUGUUUGUGGGGGUAUAAGUUUGUAUGUAUGUAGGUUUGUGCGUGUGUGUAAUAUAUGUGUUUGUGUGGGUGUUUUUGGGUGUGAGUGUCAAUGUUUAUGGAUGUGUGUGUGUUUGAAUGUGUGUUUGUGUAUUGUGUGUGCAUGUUUGUGUGAGAGUGUGUGUGUGUGUGUUUGGUAAUAUGUGUGUGUGUGAGUGCGUCUAUGUUUGUGUUUGUAUAAUUACGUGUGUUUAUGUAUGUGUUUGUGUGUGUGUGUUUGUAGUGUAGUAUGUGUGUUUGUGUUUGUAAUAUAUGUGUGUUAAGGUGCAUGUGUGUGUGUAUCUAUGUGCAUAUGUGUGUGAAUGGGGGGUUUAUGUAUGUGUGUGUUUUUUUGUGUUUGUUUGAGUGUGUGAGUUUUGGAGUGUUUGUGUUUGUGUCUUUGUGUGCGUAAUAUGUGUGUGGGUGGGUGGGUGUGAGAGUGUAUAUGUUUAUAAGGUUGUGCGUGUGUGUGUUUAUGUGUUUAAUACAUGUGUUUGUCAGAGUGUUUGUAUGUUUUUGCGUUUCUGGGUGUCCAUGUGUGUGUGUCGGUUUGUGUGUGUUUCUUUGGACGUGAGUUACUGUGUGUAUUUUUAUUUGUGUUUGUUCGUGUUUGUUUCUGUAUUUGUAUGUGUGUGUGUGCGCGUGAGAUUGUAUGUUUUAAUGUUUGAGAGAGAGAGAGAAAGAGAAAAAGAGAGUGUGUGUGUGUCUAUAUGUUUGUGUGUGUGAUGUGUGUAUGUGUGUUUCCGUGUGUUUAUGUUGGUGAUAUGUGUGUAUAGGUGGAUGGAAGUGUAGGUAUAGGUUUGUGUAUGUGUGUGUAAUAUAUGUGUUUGUAUGGGCAGGUGUGUGUGUGUAAUAUGUGUGUGUGUUUAUUUGUAUGUGUUUGUGGUGGUAGGUGUGUGUGUUUGCGUGUGCAUGCAUGUGUGUACGUGUCUGUGUGUUUGUGUGUUUGUGUGUGUGUGUGUGAAUGUGUGUUUGUGCUUGGUUGUUUGUGUGAGAGUGUGUCUGUGUUUCUGUGGCUAAUACGUGUGUGUGUGUUUGUAGUGUAAUACGUGUGUUUGUAUAUGUAAUAUAUGUGUUAAGGUGUAUGUGUGCGUGUAUCUAUGUGC
rnacentral:lncRNA from 1 species